AGAGUUUGAUCAUGGCUCAGAUUGAACGCUGGCGGCAGGCCUAACACAUGCAAGUCGAGCGGUAGCACAGAGAGCUUGCUCUCGGGUGACGAGCGGCGGACGGGUGAGUAAUGUCUGGGAAACUGCCUGAUGGAGGGGGAUAACUACUGGAAACGGUAGCUAAUACCGCAUAAUGUCGCAAGACCAAAGUGGGGGACCUUCGGGCCUCAUGCCAUCAGAUGUGCCCAGAUGGGAUUAGCUAGUAGGUGGGGUAACGGCUCACCUAGGCGACGAUCCCUAGCUGGUCUGAGAGGAUGACCAGCCACACUGGAACUGAGACACGGUCCAGACUCCUACGGGAGGCAGCAGUGGGGAAUAUUGCACAAUGGGCGCAAGCCUGAUGCAGCCAUGCCGCGUGUGUGAAGAAGGCCUUCGGGUUGUAAAGCACUUUCAGCGGGGAGGAAGGCGUUAAGGUUAAUAACCUUGGCGAUUGACGUUACCCGCAGAAGAAGCACCGGCUAACUCCGUGCCAGCAGCCGCGGUAAUACGGAGGGUGCAAGCGUUAAUCGGAAUUACUGGGCGUAAAGCGCACGCAGGCGGUCUGUCAAGUCGGAUGUGAAAUCCCCGGGCUCAACCUGGGAACUGCAUUCGAAACUGGCAGGCUAGAGUCUUGUAGAGGGGGGUAGAAUUCCAGGUGUAGCGGUGAAAUGCGUAGAGAUCUGGAGGAAUACCGGUGGCGAAGGCGGCCCCCUGGACAAAGACUGACGCUCAGGUGCGAAAGCGUGGGGAGCAAACAGGAUUAGAUACCCUGGUAGUCCACGCCGUAAACGAUGUCGAUUUGGAGGUUGUGCCCUUGAGGCGUGGCUUCCGGAGCUAACGCGUUAAAUCGACCGCCUGGGGAGUACGGCCGCAAGGUUAAAACUCAAAUGAAUUGACGGGGGCCCGCACAAGCGGUGGAGCAUGUGGUUUAAUUCGAUGCAACGCGAAGAACCUUACCUGGUCUUGACAUCCACAGAACUUUCCAGAGAUGGAUUGGUGCCUUCGGGAACUGUGAGACAGGUGCUGCAUGGCUGUCGUCAGCUCGUGUUGUGAAAUGUUGGGUUAAGUCCCGCAACGAGCGCAACCCUUAUCCUUUGUUGCCAGCGGUUAGGCCGGGAACUCAAAGGAGACUGCCAUUGAUAAACUGGAGGAAGGUGGGGAUGACGUCAAGUCAUCAUGGCCCUUACGACCAGGGCUACACACGUGCUACAAUGGCAUAUACAAAGAGAAGCGACCUCGCGAGAGCAAGCGGACCUCAUAAAGUAUGUCGUAGUCCGGAUUGGAGUCUGCAACUCGACUCCAUGAAGUCGGAAUCGCUAGUAAUCGUAGAUCAGAAUGCUACGGUGAAUACGUUCCCGGGCCUUGUACACACCGCCCGUCACACCAUGGGAGUGGGUUGCAAAAGAAGUAGGUAGCUUAACCUUCGGGAGGGCGCUUACCACUUUGUGAUUCAUGACUGGGGUGAAGUCGUAACAAGGUAACCGUAGGGGAACCUGCGGUUGGAUCACCU
rnacentral:rRNA from 1 species